GCGACGAGGACCUCUUUUCCUGCAACUUUUUGUAUGAACUUCGAAGUUGAACAAUCGCAAAAGGAAGCACACUUGGAGUAAGCGGGAACAUCGCAUAACAAAAGAUAAUAAUACUAUUUUGUUGACGUUUUCGUGGUGUAAAUCUGAAAAGUCGACUCGCACUUUAAAACAUUUUUUUUCGUGGCCAAACAUUGUGAUAGCAGUUUUCCCUGGAAUCUGUGUCUUACAACCGCGGAGGUGGGGAGAAGAAAGAUCAUCCUGAGAGACUGACACCCACAGGGCAGGAGAAUGUACCAGACACUGACGCCUCUUAGUUCACAUUGCCCACCAGAGACCGAAGCAGCAUGCAGACCUGAGGAGAACCAACACUAGCUACAACGUUCUCUCCCUCCUCCAGUCCUCCCAGCCACCAAUGUUCUGUGAGGCUCUCUAUCCUCUCCGCUCUCUCUAUCCUCUCCUCUCUAUCCUCUCCUCUCUCUCUCCU